AUGGCAGUGGAGAUAUAUUCUUCUAAAACUGGGGGAUGGGUUUACAAGGAAAUUGAAUGGUACGGUCAUAUUGUACUGAUUGAUAGCCCAUGGGCUUAUGUGUUUCUCAACGGUUGUCUGCAUUUUCUGUAUGAGGAAGCUAAUGUAGCUGUGGUGGGCACGGAGGGGAAGACAUGGAGGAACGUUCAUGUUCCUCAUAUUUGGAAUUGGGAUGAAGGUAGUUUCAUUCACCAGUCACAGGGCAGCUUGCACUAUUCAAAUUUUGAGAAAGAUCAUGUUGUCCCAUGCUUAGUGGUUUAUGUCUUGGAGGACUAUGACAGAGAAGAGUGGGUGUUGAAGCAUCGCGUUGAGACUUCAUACCUAUCAGACCUUGAAGUGAACUUUGGUUGGGUUGCCAUUCACCCAGACAGUAACUUGAUAUUCUUCACCAUAGGGCAGGAUAAGACAUUGAGGUCAUACAUUAUGGAACAUCGGAACAUUCAAGUCAUCCAUGCAUGA
rnacentral:rRNA from 1 species